GAGCAGCAGUCAUGGGAUUAGUGAAGGCACGCUUCGGACUGUAAAGAAAAGAAAAGUGGGGUUAAUGAAAGUGUGUAGUUCACCUGAGCAGAGAGACGGAGCUGAAAAACACACAGGGCUGUGAAAGAAACUGGAAGUGGAAGCAGGAAGUGGGUCUCGCUGUUGGUGUAAGAUAUAAAUAUGUUCAAGAUUUCGAAGAAGACACACAGGAAGUGUGGUGUUUCAAAUGAAGACGAUGGGUUCUUUCGUUGUACGUCCAGCGAUUGAGGCUCACCUGCCUCCCUCGUCCUAAUGACCGGACUGAUCAAUGGCCCUCACGAUGACCUGUCACUGACCUCUCUGGCCAUACAUCAUCACCGGAGGCACAGCGUUGUGUCUGUGAUAGAUGAGGCUCGGCGAGGUGGGCCGCUUGGAGGGGGUUGAGCUAAACCGAUCGCCCUCGUGCACUUUCACCUUCACGGACGCCUGAAAUUAAGAGCAGCGCUGCGUCUCUCCGAAGCCCUUUAUCACCGGAUCCCGUUUGAUCACAGCGGGAGAGGAGAAGAACUGCAGUGCACUUCACUCAGCCCUGAUAAAGCUGCUUAUAUCAGCACGCAGAGAGAAUGACGGACCUUUAUAAAGAAGAGGCAGGGCAUUGCUAUUACACAGCUGGCAGAGAACCACUGCGUGCGAAUGAAUGAAAUGUGUUUGUUUGUCAUUUUAGGUACAACCUCUGCGGGAAACAGGUACUCAGCUUUACUCUUUAGAAGCUCGUAUAAGUGCAUAGUAAGCCAAAAGUUGUCUUGAAAGUCUUCAAAGGCGCGUUUUAGGAUCCGAAUGCACACUUUAGAUAGAAAG